rnacentral:sRNA from 1 species
CCCAGCGGCAUAUUUCGUCCAUUGAAUUCUGCAUGACUGGCGAGGUCGUGUAUCAUAUGUCAUCUCUGUAGGUUCGGACAAGUUAGGGACGGUGCGAUGCCUCUUACCUUGUUUUCCUGAUCAGUAUGAGGGGGAUAACCGAACUUAUCAUGCGGACGUCGCCUGUCAAUUUAGCUGUUCGCACCACUGCAAGGAAGAUGGAAUAUCAGAACCUCAUAUUCAGGAGUAACUAACUCAACGCUUGCCCUGGUGUCUACCAUCAGAUGGUCUCUCGUCCUCAGCUAACUCGACGACAGUCUUGAUUUUUUUUCCUGUGCGGACUACUAAAACGACGGUAGUAGCAAAAAUCCAGGAACGGCGCCAUGACUUCCAACUCUUUGGGUUUCAUUUGAAGCCCGUGUGCUGAAAUGGUUUUAUCACCUUGGUUUUUCAUAGCGGAAUGGACGGCC